GAAACUAGUAAAGUGGCGCACGGGUGAGUAACGCGUGGGUAAUCUACCUCCGAAUUGGGGAUAACAUUGCGAAAGCGAUGCUAAUACCGGAUAAUAUCUCAAUAACUCCGGUCUUUGAGAUCAAAGGUGGCCUCUCCAUGGAAGCUACUGUUUGGAGAUGAGCCCGCGUACCAUUAGCUUGUUGGUAGGGUAAUGGCCUACCAAGGCGACGAUGGUUAGCUGGUCUGAGAGGAUGAUCAGCCACACUGGAACUGACACACGGUCCAGACUCCUACGGGAGGCAGCAGUGAGGAAUUUUGCGCAAUGGGGGAAACCCUGACGCAGCAACGCCGCGUGAGUGAUGAAGGCUUUCGGGUCGUAAAGCUCUGUCAAGUGAGAAGAACCUGUCCUUUGCUAAUAUCACUGGACACUGACGGUAUCACUGAAGGAAGCACCGGCUAACUCCGUGCCAGCAGCCGCGGUAAUACGGAGGGUGCAAGCGUUAUUCGGAAUCACUGGGCGUAAAGAGCGCGUAGGCGGUUUCUAAAGUCAGAUGUGAAAGCCCGGGGCUCAACCCCGGAAGUGCAUUUGAAACUUAGGGACUUGAGUAUGGGAGAGGGAAGUGGAAUUCCUGGUGUAGCGGUGAAAUGCGUAGAUAUCAGGAGG
rnacentral:rRNA from 1 species